rnacentral:tRNA from 1 species
GCGUCGGUAGCCAAGUGGUAAGGCAGCAUUUCCUUGUUCGUAUCUUAUCCCUCUGGGGUCGAAGAAUGAGGGUUAUCGAUUACUCCAUUAGCAGUCGGCGAUCGCAGGUUCGAUUCCUGCCCGACGCA